UGGGGAAUAUUGCACAAUGGGCGCAAGCCUGAUGCAGCCAUGCCGCGUGUAUGAAGAAGGCCUUCGGGUUGUAAAGUACUUUCAGCGGGGAGGAAGGGAGUAAAGUUAAUACCUUUGCUCAUUGACGUUACCCGCAGAAGAAGCACCGGCUAACUCCGUGCCAGCAGCCGCGGUAAUACGGAGGGUGCAAGCGUUAAUCGGAAUUACUGGGGGUAAAGCGCACGCAGGCGGUUUGUUAAGUCAGAUGUGAAAUCCCCGGGCUCAACCUGGGAACUGCAUCUGAUACUGGCAAGCUUGAGUCUCGUAGAGGGGGGUAGAAUUCCAGGUGUAGCGGUGAAAUGCGUAGAGAUCUGGAGGAAUACCGGUGGCGAAGGCGGCCCCCUGGACGAAGACUGACGCUCAGGUGCGAAAGCGUGGGGAGCAAACAGG
rnacentral:rRNA from 2 species